GAAUAAUAUUAGUUGUUGGUUCUUUAUUUAAGUCAUAUGGAUACAUAACAAUUAUAAUUCCCCCGAACUCUACAUUAGAAGUGGACUAUAAUCUUAAGCUUCUCACGUAUUUCACAAUGAAUUUUCUUGAAUCCCUUGGCAGCAUCAAGUGGUCAAUCACAAGUCAUUCUUUCCUAAACAACAAGGAUCAAAAAUUCAAACUCUGAGAGUUUUCUCGUUAAUGGCAUUUCUGUACAGCAGUCAUUCCCCAAGAAAGACUAGAAAUGCAUAGAAAUUAAUUCAUCUGUGCCACAUUGCCUAAUGCUAAUGACCAUUGAUUCAUUAAAUGAGGGAGAAAUGUCACAACAUUGUCGACGCAGAGCCUUAAUCUGUCCAAUAUCAGGUUCUAGUUUCUGGGAAAAUACUCUUACAUGCUCCAGAUUCUUUAUAGCUUUAGCUCUGGAGCAACCGCCAAUAUCGUCCUUGGUGUAAGUGCUCCAAAUACCACCAUCACCAAAUGUAACAUUCUCCAUAAAGAAUACAAGAGGUCUUUUACAUGGAUGCCUAGGAUAUUCUCUCAUAUUAAACAUAUAAUGACUGGAUUCAAUAUUUGCACUUCUCCUCCAUGGUCUAAAGGUCCUCUGUAGAGAAAGGAUAUCUGGAAGAAGCUCAUUGCCUUCAAACACCUGAACAGAAUAACCCCAUGCAACUGAAACAGUCAAUGAACUUGUACGGUCAUAGCAAACUGUUUGCUGCAAGAUCCUGACAGGAUCAACAUUUGCAGCUUCAAAAAGGUGUUCUGCAGC
rnacentral:misc_RNA from 1 species